GUUUCGGUAAAUAUGGGGUUUUAUUGACUUUUGAAAAACUGAUAUUCACUUCGGCCGUCGGCCUCAGUGAAUAUCAGUUUUUCAAAAGUCAAUAAUACCCCAUAUUUACCUC
rnacentral:sRNA from 1 species